UACGAAGGGGGCUAGCGUUGCUCGGAAUCACUGGGCGUAAAGCGCACGUAGGCGGAUUGCUAAGUCAGGGGUGAAAUCCUGGAGCUCAACUCCAGAACUGCCUUUGAUACUGCGGACUCUAGUCGGGAGAGGUGAGUGGAACUGCGAGUGUAGAGGUGAAAUUCGUAGAUAUUCGCAAGAACACCAGUGGCGAAGGCGGCUCACUGGCCCGAUACUGACGCUGAGGCACGAAAGCGUGGGGAGCAAACAGG
rnacentral:rRNA from 1 species